CAAACGACUYUCGGCAACGGAUAUYUCGGCUCUUGCAUCGAUGAAGAACGUAGCGAAAUGCGAUACUUGGUGUGAAUUGCAGAAUCCCGUGAACCAUCGAGUUUUUGAACGCAAGUUGCGCCCGAUGCCGCUAGGCUGAGGGCACGUCUGCCUGGGCGUCACGC
rnacentral:rRNA from 1 species